rnacentral:rRNA from 1 species
GAGAGAUAAGGCCAAUGGCGAAUGCCUUGGCAGUUUGAGCCGAAGAAGGACGCGUGAUAGAGCGCGAAAACAACGAUGAGCCCUUAAUCAGGCGUUAUCAAUCGUUGGUUUCCGAAUGGAGCAAUCCCCCGGCGCGCAAUCGUCGGGAUCCCGAUACCGCAAGGUCGUCGGGAGGGGAACCCGGUGAACCGAAACAUCCAAGUAACCGGAGGAAAAGAAAACAAAUAAUAUCCUGAGAGCAAUCAAAGGAUGUGAUUCCGUUAGUAGCGGCGAGCGAAAGCGGAAAAGCCUAAAUCCCUCUUCGCUCCAUGCUUCGUAUUGGAGUUUUAAAGAAACAAAACCUAUCUCGGAUUAUAUUUGAGAUUGGGACUUAACUUUAGCUCCAAACGGAGUGAGGAGCGAAGAGGGAGGUUGCGGGACCGCAUCUGGGAGUAUUUUUUGGUAGGAAAAUGGUCUGGAAAGGCCAACCAUAGCAAGUGACAGUCUUGUAUCUAAAACUGAAAAAUACCCCUGCGGGCUUCCCAAGUACCACGAGUCACGGCAAACCUUGUGGGAAACUGGGUCGGUCACGAUCCAAGGCUAAAUACUCAAACUGACCGAUAGUGAACUAGUACCGUGAGGGAAAGGUGAAAAGUCCCCCGGUGAGGGGAGUGAAAUAGAAACUGAAACCAUUGGCUAACAAACAGGUAAAGCAUCUCGUAUUCACUCGAUGCUCAAAAUGACAAAGUAAAAUUUAAAAAAUAUUAAUUUUGCACUUUGAAUUUUAAAUUUGAACACCGAGCGAAUGCGAGAUGUGAUACCGUGCCUAUUGAAGAAUGAGCCAGCGAGUAUCCUGAUGCGCGCUUGUUUAACCGCGUUUGACGCGGGAAGGCAAAGCGAAAGCGAGUCCUAAUAGGGCGUCUUUUGCGCCGUCAGGAUGACCCGAAACUGGGUGAGCUAACCAUGAACAGGGUGAACUCCGAUGAAAAUCGGGGGGAGGCCCGAACCCGUUGUCGGUGAAAUGGCAUGGGAGGAUUUGUGGUUAGGGGUAAUAUGCCUAUCGAACCCAGAGAUAGCUGGUUCUCCCCGAGAUAUAUUUAGGUAUAGCCUUCUGCUAACUGCCGUGGGGUAGAGCCACUAGAUAUCCCGCCGAGCCUAGUGCGAGGCGGGACAACUAAACUCCGAAUACACGGUUUAAAGCAGAGGAGUCAGUCCUGUCGGGAUAAGCCGACAUGGGCGAGAGGGAAACAUCCCAGACUCCCGUCUAAGGUUCCUAAAUGAUUUUUAAGUAAUAAAGGCCGUUGGGUUUCCAACACAGUAGGGAGGUUGGCUCAGAAGCAGCCACCCUUUAAAGAGUGCGUAACAGCUCACCUAAAUAAUCCCGCCUUUGGCGGGAUGGAAACACGGCGCCAAAAAUGAACGGAAUUAAAAAAUCUACCGAAGACGGAGCUCUGCAUCGUAUGGUGCAGGGGGUAGGGGAGCUUUCCUGUUGCUGUGAAGCUGAAUCGUAAGGUUUGGUGGAGCGGCAGGAAGUGAGAAUGCUGGCAUGAGUAGUGUUUCUCCCGAUGAAAACUCGGGAUGCCGAAAACCUAAGGUUUCCUCAGCAACGUCAAUCAGCUGAGGGUUAGUCGGUACUAAGUUUGGCGCCUACGGGUGUCUGACGAUGUACAAGUCGUUAAUAUUCGACUACUUAACUUUAAACGCUAUUACUUGGUUGGCGACGAAGUUUGAUAGUCCCGAUCCGCCAUUGGCGGAUCGAAGUUUCAAGUCUUCCUGACUUUGUCAGGGUGGCGAGAUGCGAAGUAUAUCCGACGUAAAGUCGGGUAGUCGGGACGACUUAAGCUUCCGGGAAAAGUCAGCCAAGGAGUUUUGAGUUAAACCGUACCGCAAACCGACACAGGUAGGUUGGUGGAGUACACCAAGGCAUACGGGUAAGGGUGGUUCAAGGAACUCGGCAAAAAAGCUGAGCGUAAGCUUUGCAAGAUGCUCUUCCUGCACUAUACGGUGCAGGACACAGCUAAAGAUUGUCAACCGACUGUUUAGCAAAAACUCAGGUUCCUGCCAACCCCAAUAGGGGACGUAUAGGAGCUGAGACCUGUCCGGUACUGGUAAGUUAAUCGUUGGGGUUGACCCCGACUUAGUCGGGGAAGGCUCUGGCGCAAGCUCCAGUGAACGACAGCUCUAACCCUGAGAGUUCUAAGGUAGCGUAGCCCCUUGCCGGGUAAGUUCCGGCCCGCAUGAAAGGUUUAACGAGUUGACAACUGUCUUGAACUGCUGCCCGACGAAAUUGAAAUGGCUGUGAAGAUGCGGCCUACCUGCACAUGGACAAAAAGACCCCGGGAGCUUUACUGAAACUAGGUAUUGGUGGAAGGAGAUCAACUGUUGAGCGUAGGAGGGAGGGGAACACCUUUUGGUGUUCCCCGUCAAUGAAACACCUCUCUUUGAGCUUUUUUCACCUUAUCCCGCCUAAGGCGGGAAACAGUGCUUGGCGGUCAGUUUAACUGGGGCGGUUUCCUCCAAAAAAGUAACGGAGGAGCGCAAAGGUCAGCUAGCUGCGGAUGGAAAUCGCAGUGUUAGUGUAAACGCAUAAGCUGGCUUAACUGCGAGACAUACAAGUCGAGCCCGUGAAGUAGAUCGCUUUGCGAUCUCUUCAGGGCCCUGAAGCGAACUUUGUUCUACUUCAGGGCAGAUGCGAAAGCAGGCGUUAGUGAUCCCCCGUCUGGCAGUGAUUUGCCGGCGGGGCUUAACGGAUAAAAGCUACCCCGGGGAUAACAGGCUAGUCACGCCCGAGAGUUCAUAUCGACGGCGUGGUUCGGCACCUCGAUGUCGGCUCAUCGCAUCCUGGAGCUGGAGUCGGUUCCAAGGGUUGGGCUGUUCGCCCAUUAAAGCGGUACGCGAGCUGGGUUCAGAACGUCGUGAGACAGUUCGGACUCUAUCCUGUGCAGGCGAUUGGACUUUUGAAGAGGGGUCUUCCACAGUACGAGAGGACCUGGAAGAGGAGAUCCCUGGUGUACCGGUUGUCUCAAAAGGGCAUUGCCGGGUAGCUAAAUCUCCAUUCGAUAAGCACUGAAUGCAUCUCAAGUGCGAAGCGAACCUCAAGAUUAAAAGUCCUCCGCCAUUUGGCGGAUCAGCUUCCCCGCAGAUUACGGGGUUGAUAGGCGUCAGGUGUAAGCACCGCAAGGUGUUUAGCCGAGACGUACUAAGUAGCGA